GUAACGGCGAGUGAAGCGGCAACAGCUCAAAUUUGAAAUCUGGUCACCUUACGGAGGCCCGAGUUGUAAUUUGAAGAGGAUGCUUUUGGCGAGGUGCCUUCCGAGUGCCCUGGAACGGGACGCCACAGAGGGUGAGAGCCCCGUAUGGUUGGACACCGAGCCUAUGUAAAGCUCCUUCGACGAGUCGAGUAGUUUGGGAAUGCUGCUCAAAAUGGGAGGUAAACCCCUUCUAAAGCUAAAUAUUGGCCAGAGACCGAUAGCGCACAAGUAGAGUGAUCGAAAGAUGAAAAGCACUUUGAAAAGAGAGUUAAACAGCACGUGAAAUUGUUGAAAGGGAAGCGCUUGCGACCAGACUUGCGCCCGUCGGAUCAACCGUCGCUUGUCGGCGGCGCACUCCGGCGGGCUCAGGCCAGCAUCAGUUUUCCCGGGGGGAGAAAGGCGGUGGGAAUGUAGCUCCUAGGAGUGUUAUAGCCCGCCGCGUAAUACCCUCGGGGGGACUGAGGACCGCGCAUCUGCAAGGAU
rnacentral:rRNA from 1 species